rnacentral:tmRNA from 1 species
GGGGCUGUUCUGGCUUCGACGGGGAGUACAAAGUUUGGGAUGCAUGCCGUGCCUGAGAUGACGCACGUAAAUCUUCAUUUCAAUUUGUUAUAGUUGCAAACGACGAUAACUACGCUCUAGCGGCUUAAUCCCGCUAGCACAGACCAGCCCCGUUGUUCGUGGCGCCUGGUUCUGUGUCGACUUACACGGAAUCGCUGGUCGUAUGUGUUUGGAUGCGGCCAGUUAAACUUUGACAAACUCGCGGUACGUGAUCCCGGCCGACUGGGUAGCGUGCCGUUAAAACAAUAGGUCGGAUAAGCAUGUAGAUUCUCGAGUGGCGGCUUCCCGGACGGGGGUUCGACUCCCCCCAGCUCCACCA